UAUGGUCUGUGAAGAUCUGUUCAGGUUUGUGCAGAGUGACGUGAUAAUUGACGUUAUUGUGUGUUUUUGACUGGUUUGACAGAAAGACAGGGUCUCAAGCAGAUUCCGAACAAUUCCGAAGGGGCUGCGGAGGGUUCUUCGCGUAGGAGAAGAGCACGAAAUCGGAACGCUAUUUAGUGAAGAAUGUCGAAGAUCGAAGAGGGCAAUUCCCAUAUUCGGCAGGCUGAAAAAAGUUUAAAGACAUCGCUUUUAAAGUGGAAGCCUGACUUUGAGGUUGCAGCGGAUGAAUACACGCAUGCUGCUACCUGCUUUCGCAUCGCCAAAUCAUUUAAACAAUGCAGGGAGUGCUUAUCGAAGGCUGCGGAUUGUUACAAGCAGAAUCGAUCUUGGUUCCAUGCUGCAAAGAGUAUAGAACAAGUAAUAUUAAUAUGCAAAGAAAUAGGAGAUUUGUCCGAGGUACCCAAACUGGCUCAUUCGGCAUGCUCGCUUUAUCAACAACAUGGUUCACCUGAGUCAGGUGCAACGGUGUUGGACAAAACAGGAAAACUGAUAGAAUCAACCGAACCUGAAAAAGCCCUUGAACUGUUCCAGCGUGCAGCUGACAUUGUUAUGGGAGAAGACAGUCCAAGACAGGCUGCUGAGUACAUGAGUAAGGUAGCAAGACUUUUAGUCAAACUGAAAAUGUACGAUCAGGCUGCAGAUGCUGUCCGUAGAGAAAUAGGGAUGCAUCAGCAGAUAGAUCACAUCCCAUCUGUAGGACGAUUAGCUGUUGCUUUGGUCUUGGUUCAGCUGGCUCGAGGAGAUCAAGUGGCAGCAGAAAAAGCUUUCAAAGAAUGGGGAAAUUACUGUGAUGGUCCCGAGGUGCAAACACUAGAAAUGCUCUUACAAGCCUAUGACAACGAAGAUGCGGAGUCUGCAAGGUCAGCUUUAAACAGUCCAUUUAUCAAGCACAUGGAUGUUGAAUAUGCUAAGCUAGCUCGUGGGUUGCCUUUACCUCAACAAGAAUAUGCCAUUCCACCAGCAGGCGUUAGGCCAAAUGCAGCUGAAUCUUACAUAUCCCCUAAUGCUAGCAAAUUAACCAGUCAGGCUACUGUUGAAGCAGAAGUUAAUCAAGAUCUGCCAAGCAAAGAGAAAGAGUCAGCAGGUUCAGUUAACAUAGAAGUGGAGGAAAAAGCAAUCGAUGAGUCAGAGCAGUGUUCUCCUCCUGCCAAACAACCUCCUAUGAACAAAAAGGAGGAUGAAGACGACUACGAGGGAGGACUCUGUUGAUCGUUUUGGCUUAUCUAUUUCGAGAUAUCUGAAACUAAUGCGUAUUUAUUGUAAUGCGCAUAAAUUAUUCUCUGUAUUAAUCAUGACUCGUUGACAUGAGCGAUCGCCUGUAAAACACGUCUUGCACGCUGGAAGUGCACUUUGCAUUUCAGUUCUUCGACAAUAGAAGCACUGCUGAUUUCCAAUAGAUAACCAACGGUUCUACUAUACACAUUACCUGCACUAAUCUGCGAAGCCGGAGGGACUCGUCGUUUGUGUCCUUCAUGGUAGUACAAGGUAAAUACUUUGUAUGCUACUACCCGUUAUCAAAGCUAAAUGUUUUAGUGAUUAAAAUAAUUGUUGCGCAAUACAGAUGUACAUGUAUAUAUUAAUUUAAAGUUCCACGUCAGAGAGUUACCCAAUAAAUAUGUUGCUUAAAAUUGAAA
rnacentral:misc_RNA from 1 species